GAAGAAUAGGUUAGAACGGGGCUGCUAACUUUAGUUCUGGGUAAUUCGAUUUUAUCCUCUUCCUU
rnacentral:tRNA from 1 species